CGUGGAUACAGCAGGGGGAGCUGGAAGCUGAAGAGAGCAGACAGGCAGCGCGCGCAGGAGCAGGACACUUCCCGGUGUCGCGGCUCUGUCAGGCGGAUGGAUGAAGCCGAAUCUCCGGGAACAUUCUCCACCUCCAUCAGCACACUUCCGGUGAUGUGGAACGCAUAGCUGAUCCUCAGAGCUUCUUCUUGUGUGUGUGUGUGUGUGUGUGUGUGUGUGAGUGUGUGUGUGUGUGUGUGUGUGUGUUUCUCUCUCUCUGAGGCUUGGUGUGUGUCUGUAACGCGCACACGGCGUCCUCCGCGGACAGGACAGAGAUCAUAAAUAAUAAAUAAACAAUAAGAGUCAUCAUGGAUAAUGAAAAGUAUUUGCCGGAGCUGAUGGCUGAGAAGGAUUCCCUGGACCCGUCUUUCCAACACUCUUCACGCCUCUUAGAGCAAGUGGCUGUAAAGAAAAUAUUGAAGCCUGUCAUUAAAGGGCUGUCAGCUGUCACUCAAACUGGACACACCUGAGGUCAAGCCACAGAAAUCCUUUUUUAUUCCACUUACUUUUUUUAAGCAUUAAUCUUUCUCUUUGUUGCAUCCUUUCAUACAAAAGACAUAAAUAUGAAUAAAUAUGAAUGUGCUGAGAGGACACGCUUCUUAUUCAUUUAGAUAGAUGGCCUUUGGGCGUCGGGAAUACGUCCCACGUUGUCCCACACGAACUUACUACUUGUCCCGCAUUUGUUCCGUUUGCAUCCGGUCACCCUAUGAGGACUGGCUCAGGCGUUUAGAGGACGAAUUAGACUCGCACAUCACGCCUCUAACGACUGCGUGUUUAACAGCACCACUAACACACAUAGAUUUUCCCAUUAACUUCUGAUUCAGGCCGCUGUAAUUUACAAGUGACUGAUACAGUGAAUACGUCGUAACUCAGCCGUGAAGCGUCUCCAUCACUCGUCCCGGUGCAGAGGUAGUGACACUCAUCACACAGGUCCAAUUCUUCUUAAUUAAAACGUAAUCAGACUUCUGACACAUUCAUUUAUGAUCUCCUGAGUGUGUGGAUGUUUCUGCACUCCUUCUUCCUGUUCUGUAUUUAUAGCUCCUGCACUUCGAUUCAUCACUGUGCGACGGUCACAUACGCACAUACGCGUCCCUCGGAACGAGCCGUCACUAUGGGAACAGUAACGUGUUAGGACGAGCGCACGGAUAUAGACCUGCGCUACUGUCCGAGCCGCUGUUCUAGAAAAUGAAUCAACACCUGACGACCAAUCGGGUUUGAGAAUUCAACAGCAUCAUGGGAUAUGAAUGCACAAUGUAAGCAAAUAUGUUUUGCACACUGGAUUUGGAAAUAAUAGGUUUGCGCUUCUUGGAUCUUGAGAAGAGUACGUGAGCAAAUUUAGAUGUGAAGAGUGAAAGUACUGUGUGUACGCUCUGAAACACUAGCCAAGGUUUCGUUUCUUCUCAGAGUAUACAUCGUGUAACCGUAACACUUUGUGUUGUUUUGUGCUCCUUGAACAUCCUGUCCGGAGACAUCUCCUUCCACCCUGCUCAAUAAUGCACGGCCUGCACGACUUAUUCAGGGCAGUGAGCCUUAAGGAAACACUUUAGCCCCAAACACUAAUGUUAUUAAUAAUGAAUGACAGCCAGUUGGGAACAGUUAGUGCUAUGCAAAUGAGAGAGGGCUAAUAGGCCAACCGCUGGGUUUCAAUCAUCGUUAACUCUGUUAGCAUUUUGGGGUGAACUUUUAAGGUUGAGGAAAUUCAUUAGCCCACUUUCGUACGUGUAUGUACAGAGCUGGCUUGGGGCUGCAGUUUGAGACGUAAAAGUGUUUCCUCAGAAGUGUCCUCACACCCGCUUUCAACAGAUUAAACACUGGGUACAAGGUGCUGCUGUGAGGAUGACACGUUCAACAUGGAAAAUCAGAAUGAAAUAAACUAAUGGUCCAGUCUGAUCUGGUACUGAUCCAGAGUCUCAUUCUGCUAUGCAGGUGGCAGCAGUGAUUGAUCAACAGGAAAGGAAAUGCAGGAAUGAAUGGUUUAUUUAUUUUAUUUUUAUUGCUUUAAACUUUAUUAAAUAUAAAACAGAGCUGAUAUAUUUAUUAACAUUUUGGGGCUGGUAUUGUGGGUGGGAACUGUGGUCUAACUGGUUGCAUUAUGCAUGGGAAGUGCAUUCUGACUGGUUAAAGUAACUGCUUUCUGAUUGGGUAUAAUGGCAUUACAACCAGGAAGUGUGUUCUGAUUGGUUACAGUGGCAUUAUAACCAGGAAGUGUGUUCUGAUUGGUUACACUGACGUUACAGGGAGGAAGUGUGAUCUGAUUGGUUACAGUGGCAUUACAACCAGGAAGUGUGUUCUGAUUGGUUACACUGACGUUACAGGGAGGAAGUGUGUUCUGAUUGGUUACAGUGGCAUUACAGGGAGGAAGUGUGAUCUGAUUGGUUACACUGACGUUACAGGGAGGAAGUGUGUUCUGAUUGGUUACACUGACGCUACAGGGAGGAAUGUGCUCUGAUUGGUUACACUGACGUUACAGGGAGGAAGUGUGUUCUGAUUGGUUACACUGACGUUACAGGGAGGAAGUUUGAUCUGAUUGGUUACACUGACGUUACAGGGAGGAAGUGUGUUCUGAUUGGUUACACUGACGUUACAGGGAGGCUGUUUAUGAUGAACAGAGCAGUGAGUUCAUGAAUUAAUGAUCUAGAUCGAGCUGUCUUUAGCCGGAGUAAAGCAGUGGACAGGUGGAUUUGCAGGUUUUUCAGCUCCAUUCCGUCUCGGUGAGCAGCAGGAAAGCGCCACAGCUCUAUAAACAGGAUCAUUCUGACCCACAGCUGCACUUUCCCGUCCCUCAGAGCAUUCACGCCUCAGUUUUUAUCCUCUAAAGUGCAUUCUUGGCGCAGUUCACAUUAAUGAGACACGGCAUGUAUGGCCUGCAGCACAAUGCUCGACUUAGGGAGUUUUUCCUCGCCACCGUCACCACCGGUUCGCUCAAUAGGCAUAAAUUCACACUCCUAAAAUCUGUAUCCUGUGUAUAUAUGUUUCUGCAAAGCUGCUUUGAGACAACGUCCGUUGUUAAGAGACCUAAAGUGUGUUCGUGUGACCUUCGACCCUCCUGUGAGGAGAGCACUCGUGUUAAUCUGGUCUGAAGCCGCGUCCUCCGUGGCUUCUCCCUCGUCAGUUAUGCACACAUUAAUAUUUUAUGAGUGCAGCUGGAUAAUGCAGCACACGGCACGGCAUCAAAGCAGGACAUAAUGACACCGGAUUACAGACACAGAGACAGACAGGAAGAGACAGCGAUAGAUCGAGAGAUAGAAAGACACACUGGAAUGAAGAAUGAGCGCAUCUGAUUUAUAAAAAUGAUCCUGUGAAGAAACAUGUACGGUUGCCAGGUUUCAGCAAAAUAUCCCGCUACUACAUCCGAAAAAAAAAAAAAAAAAAAACUGUACAAGAAGACCUGAACCGAGCCCAAAGAUGCUGCUGCUGUAUGGCCAAACAGUGAAAAUGUAGUAGAGCUGGGCGAUAUAAUGACAUCAUACCUACAUCGUGAUCAAUUCUGACACAAUACACUUUUCAGAGAUAUCGCAGGUAUCGUGUUAUCUUUAUCAAACUUACUGUGUAGCAUCUUUAUAUAACUUAUUUUAUUAAGCUACAAUAUAGCUGAAGUGCACAACAACAGCGUUCCUCACCUGAUGUGCUUUUCCCUCAUGAAGCCUCAGCUUUCUUUACACUGUGACGUGAUUCACUGUAAUAUCAGCGCGGCCACUGCGACAGAAAUAGUUCUGCGGAUCGUACGUACACUUUCUGAUCUUACACGUUAGCUUCGUUUGCUGAAAAUGAUCAUUAAAAAAAGUUAUUCCUUUUUUUCCCCCCACCCUUUUUUUCCCUCACCAAUAGAGAACCACUGGUCCAUCCGUGGGUCCAGUUGGAUUGUUUUUGGUACCUGCUCAACACUGGGACCAACUGGACCUACAGGAAGAUUUCCACUGAGGUUCUGGAGUCUUAACUAAUCCUUACUAAAGGGUAAUUUUCUCGAGUUCCCCUUUAAGCAGCGCGCUGUGGAGCAUGUGAGCGCGCGUGCACGAGCAGGUUCGCGAGCACCUGCUUUUCCCUUGUGGACAAUCGUGACAUUUCGACACGUGCAUUUGUUAUGUUUCUGUCAUGUCUCCUCCCCGUUCUGUCAUUGGUGGUUGUUUCACGUGUGUCUGAAUCGCCCUGAGCCGUCAGCCAUUAAAACGCUGAUUAUGUUUGUAUAUACACCGCGCGCCCCCAACACACGGCGCAGGAUAUUGAGUCAGAUAGUAGAUUAGUUUAGAGUCCUUACGAUAGAGAACCACAGUCACAGUCCAUAGUUCCAUGUUUCGAGUCUUAGUCUUAGUCUUAGUCUUAGUUCAUAGUUCAUGUCAUGUUUAGGUUCGUUAGUUUAGUUCACGCUGCUUUCUCCGCUCCCAGUCCCUCGCUGUAGCUUAUGUUUCAUGUUUUGUAUCUCGACCCUGUUUUCCGUGACCGCGACCUUGAUUCCUGCCUCGCCCCGUGUACGCCUGUUUGCCGAUCGUCUGAACUUUGCCAGUUUUUGGAUUACGUUUACGGAUCACGUUUUGGAUUUUCCUGCCCGUGUCUCUCCUAAAUAAAACUGUUAUCCUGCACUUGCAUCCGUCCUAAUCUCCGUUACGUCACGAUACGUGACAGUAAUAGAACUAACUAGCUUCUACGAGAACCCUUUAUUUAAUAUUGUUCUAGAACCCCUUACUUAAGAUUGUUAUCGGACUUUUAGUUAAUAUAUUUCUAGAACCCCUUAGGUAAAAAUUGUUCAAAACCCCUUUAGUUAAGAUUGUUCUAGAACGCUUUAUUUCAUAUAUUUCUAGAACCCUUUAGUUAAGAAUGUUCUAGAACGUUUUAGUUAAUAUUGUUCUCGAACUUUUAGUUAAUAUAUUUCUGAGACCCAUUUAAAUUUUUUUCUAAACCCAUUUAGUUAAGAUUGUUCUAGAACCCUUUAAUUAAUAUGUUUCUAAACCCUUUAGUUAAGAUUGUCCUUUAGUUAAUAUAUUUCUAGAACCCUUUAGUUAAUUUUGUUCUAGAACC
ensembl:lncRNA